UGGGGAAUUUUGGACAAUGGGCGAAAGCCUGAUCCAGCAAUGCCGCGUGUGUGAAGAAGGCCUUCGGGUUGUAAAGCACUUUUGUCCGGAAAGAAAUCCUUGGCUCUAAUACAGUCGGGGGAUGACGGUACCGGAAGAAUAAGCACCGGCUAACUACGUGCCAGCAGCCGCGGUAAUACGUAGGGUGCAAGCGUUAAUCGGAAUUACUGGGCGUAAAGCGUGCGCAGGCGGUUUGCUAAGACCGAUGUGAAAUCCCCGGGCUCAACCUGGGAACUGCAUUGGUGACUGGCAGGCUAGAGUAUGGCAGAGGGGGGUAGAAUUCCACGUGUAGCAGUGAAAUGCGUAGAGAUGUGGAGGAAUACCGAUGGCGAAGGCAGCCCCCUGGGCCAAAUACUGACGCUCAUGCACGAAAAGCGUGGGGGAGCAAAACAGGAUUAGAUACCCUGGUAGUCCACGCCCUAAAACGAUGUCAACUAGUUGUUGGGGAUUCAUUUCCUUAGUAACGUAGCUAAACGCGUGAAGUUGACCGCCUGGGGGAGUACGGUCGCAAGAUUAAAAACUC
rnacentral:rRNA from 1 species